UUGACCGAGUUUACAACUCCCAAACCCCUGUGAACAUACCUUAAUGUUGCCUCGGCGGAUCAGCCCGCGCCCCGUAAAACGGGACGGCCCGCCAGAGGACCCAAACUCUAAUGUUUCUUAUUGUAACUUCUGAGUAAAACAAACAAAUAAAUCAAAACUUUCAACAACGGAUCUCUUGGUUCUGGCAUCGAUGAAGAACGCAGCAAAAUGCGAUAAGUAAUGUGAAUUGCAGAAUUCAGUGAAUCAUCGAAUCUUUGAACGCACAUUGCGCCCGCUGGUAUUCCGGCGGGCAUGCCUGUUCGAGCGUCAUUUCAACCCUCAAGCCCCCGGGUUUGGUGUUGGGGAUCGGCUCUGCCUUCUGGCGGUGCCGCCCCCGAAAUACAUUGGCGGUCUCGCUGCAGCCUCCAUUGCGUAGUAGCUAACACCUCGCAACUGGAACGCGGCGCGGCCAUGCCGUAAAACCCCAACUUCUGAAUGUUGACCUCGGAUCAGGUAGAGCAAUACCCG
rnacentral:rRNA from 1 species